GAAAUUCCAAACGAACCCGGAGAUAGCUGGUUCUCCCCGAAAUAGCUUUAGGGCUAGCGUCGCGCGGUGGCUGGGGAAGGUAGAGCACUGAAUAUGCGAUGGCCGCAUCCCGCGGUACUGAGCAUAAUCAAACUCCGAAUGUUCCCAGAGGAGAAGCGCGGCAGUCAGUCUGCGGGUGAUAAGGUCCGUAGACGAGAGGGAAACAGCCCGGACCAGCAGCUAAGGUCCCAAAGUGCAUGCUAAGUGGAAAAGGAAGUGGAGAUGUGCAGACAGCUAGGAGGUUGGCUCAGAAGCAGCCAUCCUUGAAAGAGUGCGUAACAGCUCACUAGUCGAAUGACUCCGCGCCGAUAAUUUACCGGGGCUAAGCAUGACACCGAAGCUCUGGGCAGGAGACUGCGGUAGGGGAGCGUUCCAUGCAGCGGCGAAGGCAGACCGGAAGGGCGGCUGGAGCGCAUGGAAGAGAGAAUGCCGGCGUGAGUAGCGAAAUGUGGGUAAGAAUCCCACACACCGAUUGCCCAAGGAUUCCAGGGGAAGGUUCGUCCACCCUGGGAGAGUCGGGACCUAAGGUGAGGCCGAGAGGCGCAGCCGAUGGAAGACGGGUGGAGAUUCCCGUACCCGUAUGGCGGUGAAGGAGUGACGGAGAAGCAAGGCGGUGCCGGCGGACGGAAGAGCCGGUGUAAGCGAGAGACCCGGAGACCAGGGAAAACCGGUUUCUGAUAAGGGGAAGGCGUGACGCAUACGGAAAGCUGAGGCAAGUACGGAAAGCCGAGGAGCAUCUUCCAGGAAAAGCUUCUAGCAAUAACGACAUACGGCCCGUACCGAAAAUGGACACACAUGGGCAGGGAGAGAAUCCCGAGGUGAGCGAGAGAACUGCAGCCAAGGAACUCUGCAAAAUGACCCCGUAACUUAGGGAGAAGGGGUGCUCGCUGAGAGGCGAGCCGCAGAAAAAUGGCCCAAGCGACUGUUUACCAAAAACACAGCUCUCUGCGAAGGCGCAAGCCGAAGUAUAGGGGGUGACGCCUGCCCGGUGCUGGAAGGUUAAGGGGAGGAGUGAGCGAAAGCGAAGCUCCGAGCCGAAGCCCCAGUAAACGGCGGCCGUAACUAUAACGGUCCUAAGGUAGCGAAAUUCCUUGUCAGGUAAGUUCUGACCCGCACGAAAGGCGUAACGAUUUGGGCGCUGUCUCGGCUGCAGACUCGGUGAAGUCUUAGUGCCUGUGAAGAUGCAGGCUGCCCGCGACUAGACGGAAAGACCCCAUGGAGCUUCACUGCAGGUUGGCAUUGGACCUGGGUGCGUGAUGUACAGGAUAGGCGGGAGGCAGAGAACCCGGCGCGCAAGCGCAGGGGGAGCCGACGUUGGGAUACCGCCCUUGGCGCAUCUAGGCUCUAACCGGACGCCGGAGACGGGCGACGGGACAGUGCCAGCCGGGCAGUUUGACUGGGGCGGUCGCCUCCUAAAGAGUAACGGAGGCGCCCAAAGAUACCCUCAGCAUGGAUGGAAACCAUGCAGCGAGUGCAAAGGCAUAAGGGUGUCUGACUGCGAGACAGACAGGUCGAGCAGGGACGAAAGUCGGGCUUAGUGAUCCGGCGGUGCCGAAUGGAAGGGCCGUCGCUCAACGGAUAAAAGCUACCCUGGGGAUAACAGGCUGAUCUCCCCCAAGAGUUCACAUCGACGGGGAGGUUUGGCACCUCGAUGUCGGCUCAUCGCAUCCUGGAGCUGAAGUCGGUUCCAAGGGUUGGGCUGUUCGCCCAUUAAAGCGGUACGCGAGCUGGGUUCAGAACGUCGUGAGACAGUUCGGUCCCUAUCUGUCGUGGGCGCAGGAGGUCUGAGGAGAGCUGUCCCCAGUACGAGAGGACCGGGGCGGACGGACCGAUGGUGGACCAGUUGUCGCGCCAGCGGCACAGCUGGGUAGCCAAGUCCGGAAGGGAUAAGCGCUGAAGGCAUCUAAGUGCGAAGCCCCCUCCGAGAUGAGACCUCCCACCGAAAGGGUAAGGCCCCUUGA
rnacentral:rRNA from 1 species